rnacentral:rRNA from 1 species
AUGCUAGUUGUACAUCCACGGAGGAAGGAUUGGUGGUUGCGGGCUAGGGCUGCGAUCCCUAAGGCUGUCAGGAAGAACUUUGAUACGGUGAUUAUUCUGCUGCAUUGAAGGGUUUGGAAGGAAAGAAAUGCCAGGAUUUUUGAUCAAAUGGCCAGCUCACCUGACAGGGUCUUGGAACGGAUUAAAGAGGAUGUGUCCAUGUGGAGGGCUGCGGGUUGCAUCGCUGAUCUUCCUACUUAG